GAUCCUGUGGCUCAUGUGGAUGAGCAUCACCUCUGGGUGGAGAGGUUGCUGGUUCGAAUCCCAGCCAGGACUC